UGUGUGCUGUCCGUUACUGUCGGGGGCUUCCACUUAGAUUCUGGCGGAGGAGCCUUUCGCAGUUUAGGAUUGGGAGUUGUGACUGAACGGGAUUAACUACAUGGGCGGGAUACUGAAGGUCUGUUGGCAGCCAAUGAGGAGUCGGAGUGCCGAAAUUAAAAAAGCGAGAAGGCAGUGAGAGAGAGGAAGAGUUGCUUUACGUUACAAGUGAUUGAUACAGGAUGGACAUUAUGAACGCCUAGGAAAAUAAAAGGUAGAAACGUCUCGCCCAAACGCUGGGUCAAGGUUACUGUGAAAUCACGUGAAGUGAGCUUCAUAGUGAUGAUCCAAAUGUAUGUGGUCCACAGCGCACCCCUGAAAGCUCUGAUUCUGCUGUAGGCAAUCUACAAGCUGAAGACCGUCAAGACGUCAAAGAAAUGACUGACUUGGAGCAAAAAUUUCUACGCACCGCUAUUGCUGAUCUCUUGCCUGACCUUCCGGAAGCCACAAAAGAUAUUCUAGAAGAGAACUUGCGAUCCUUUGAGGUGGAGACAUAUGAUGAUUUUCAGUGUAUUGAGGAAGCCAAUUUGCUGUCAGCGUUGAGGCUGGUUCAAGUCAGGAAAGUCCUUGCUGCUGGGAAGCUG